AUGAAAAGUAUUCCGUUUUUAAGUCUAUUUUUGUGGAAGCAAGAGAUCAUUUUUAAUAUUGAAGUGAAACAGCGGCGUCUCUUCGGAGGAGCUCUCUGUGUCCCUCUCAGGAGGCGGAUUUACAGGCCGGACAUUUAUAGCAUCAUGACCUGUGAGUGUGUCAGUUUAUUCAUUUAUUUAUACACUAAUAAGCAAAACAUGGCUCUUAGUCCAAGAACAAGUGUUUCAUCUACAUUUCCAGCCAGACUGAAGCUAAUUUCUUUGUAUUUUAUAUCAAAAUUCUACCAUUUCAUCUUCCUGUAAAACAAAAUGUGCUUACAUAAGAAUAAACUAACUGAUUUCAACCUAUAAUAUCUUUACAUUCACCUGUCAAUCAAUCAUCCAAAUUUAAUCGGCUUCUUUUUUUGACCCAUUCAGUGUUUUAUUGUCUCUGACGCUCGGCCAUUGUUAUAUUACAGUUUGUGUUCAGGUCAUCAAAGUUUAAUCAAAUAAAAUAAUGUAAUACGUUAUUAUAACUCAUAAAAAUUGUUUAAAUGGUUUACAUUGAACAUUUUGAGUAACACAAACUAAAAUUUUUAAGUUUAUAAACAAAAUAAAAGUAAUUUUUACACAAUACAAGCAAAAAAGUCUGUCACCUAAAAUGUAUUUCUUUAAUUUAUAAAAUUGAGUUACUGUUACUUAAAUUUUUUGAUGUAAUUAGUUUCAACAAUUGUUUGAGUUUAAUUAACGUAAGGAUCGUUUUUUAAGACUUCUUAUUUAGUUUUCUUAACAGAAAUGAAUGAAUGCUGAGAUAUAUCCUUUUAAUUGUGUAGAUUUUUUACGUUUUCUUACACCCCAGUUUUCUAGCGACCCCUAGUGGGGGUCCCGAGCCACAGGUUGGGACUCAUCGACCACCGUAAACAUUAAUUAAACAUGAGAACAUUAAGAAAUCCAGUCUGAAUUAACUGCUCAUGUUCAUUCAGUUAUUAAGGAAUAUAAAUCCUGCAAAUGUAUUCAGGAAAAUGCUAAUCAGAUCAUUUAUAGUGGAGUUGAUUUGAUUAUCUUACAUUCACUCUGUUUCUUUGCUCUCCUCAUCCUUCACUUCGACUCAGUCACCUUCAUUCUUUGACUGUUCGUAAGAUCCAUUAAAGUAAUAGCUGUCUGUCCUCGCUCAAAAAUUGGAUUUUGCUCACGUUGCUCUCGGGCCAGAACUGAUUUACAGGUGCUCAGACGUGCAUUGUAAUCAGGCGUCAGGAGGUAAUUCAUUAAAAAAAACACCCAGACUAAGAACACCAACAACGAGGGAGAGAGUCGGAAAACAAAAGGAAGCAACCGGAGAACGAGGCGGGGUGGGAUAUAUACAGCAUCAGGCAGGAGGAGGACUGGAGGACAGUUUUGAGGACUUCUUCCAGUUCUCGAGUGCGUUCGUCUCAUAACAUGAAAUAUUGCAUACGCAGACUCAAAGUCCUUAUUGAAACAAUGGCUGUAAUGAGGCCGCCUCGUCCGCCACCGUCGCAAGGUCACCGCGGCUCCAUGGUAACCGUCCAUCAAAAUGAGUGUUUCUGAACGUAUGUAAUUUAGCAAUCAACAGACUGCGCUCCGAAUGAGGACUGUCAGCGGAGAGAGACGGAGGGAAUAAUAAUAAUAAUAAUAAUAAGUGAAGUGGAAGUGACCAGAUGUGUUGUGACUGUAAAACCAGCCGCAGCGACCGUGAGCGAGGUCAUUUCUGCAGAUGGUGGGAGUUUAUACGAGUAGAAUUAAAGAAUAAGAGUCUGAAGCUCCACUAUAGGGACCCUAAGCUUCAAACUAUAAUGCUGUUGGUCAUUCUAGUUGUAUUUUUAUAUCAGAAUCCAACCAUUGUGUCAACAAAACGUGACACGUGCUUACGUCAGCAUGAACUAACUGAUUUCAACCAAUAAUAUCCUGACAUUCACCUGUCGAUCAAUCUUCAACUGUUAGCGACACAGAGCGAAGAUUCAUUAGUUAGCUAGCUAGCUAACAGCGUGGCUAGCUAGCGGAGCUCACUGAUUACUGUACAAACACAACUUUAAUAUAUGUAUUUGUUGGCGCCUUUCACAACACCCAAGGUCACCUUACAGGUUAAAAAAAACUGCAGAAAUAGGCAUAAAAUACACAGCAUAGUAAAUACAUAUAAAAUACAUAUAAAAUGACAAAUAAAAUACAGUGCAGCUAAAUAAAUGAAUGCAGAAAGUAAAACAGAGGGGGCCAGAGUAUUUAUAGCAAGUAAGACUUUUUAAAAAGGUGUGUUUUAAGUUGAGACUUGAAAGUGUCAAUGGAGUCCAGAGAGCGGAUGUGUAGUGGAAGUGAGUUCCAGAGUCUAGGUGCAGAGCAGCUAAAAGCCUGAGCACCCAUUGAGGUAAGUGAGAAGGAAGGGGUGGAAAGCAGGGCGGUAGAUGAGGAACGGAGUGAACGGGAUGGGAUAUAUGGCUGUAGCAUACUGGAGAGAUAUGGGAGGGCCUGGUUAUGGAGAGCUUUGAAUGUUAACAGUAGGAGUUUGUAUUGUAUCCGUUAUUGGACAGGGAGCCAGUGGAGGUGAAUGAGCCCUAGUGUGAUGUGAUCCAAGGACUUUGUAUGUGUUAUGAUUCUGGCAGCGGUGUUCUGGAUGGUUUGUAGAUGAUGGAUGAGUUUUUGUGGUAGACCAAUGAGGAGGGAGUUACAGUAGUCCAGAUGAGAAGUGACCAGGACAUUUAUGAAGACUUCAGUGGAGUGCUGGGUGAGGGAGGGGCGAAGUCUGGAGAUGUUGCGGAGAUAGAAAAAGGAUGUACGUGAGAUAUUGUUGAUGUGGGAUGUGAGUGAGCAAGUACUGUCCAAGAUGACGCCAAGACUUUUAACUUUGGUUGAAGUGGGGACCAGACAGCCAUCAAUGAGAAUACUGAGGGGAUGGGAUUUGAAGAGUGAUGAUUUGGAUCUGAUGAGAAGAACUUCACUUUUAUUGCCAUUGAGUUUGAGCUUGUUGUUUGACAUCCAGUUUGUAAUGGUUUCCAGGCAGUCCGUGAGGGCAGUAGGGGGCGAUACAGUGUCUGGUUUGGUGGUGAUGUAGAUUUGGGUGUCGUCACCAUAACAGUGGAAGUGAAUACCAAAAAAUAUUUAGUAAAAGUAUUUUCUCCUUGGAUGAACUGAGAACGGUCAGAUAUGUAGGAAUGGAACCACUGGAGGGAGAUGCCAGAGACCCGAGUGCUGGCCAAACGAUCUAGGAGGAUGGCAUGAGAUAUUCUGUCAAAGACAGCACUGAGGUCUAGGAGUAUGAGGAUGGUGAGAAGGCCAGAAUCUGCUGCUAAAAGAAGGUAAUUUGUUAUUUGAAUGAGAGCUGUUUCUGUACUGUGGUUUGGACGGAAACCAGACUGAAAAGGCUCAAAGAGGUUAUUUUUUGAUAGAUGAUCUUGAAGUUGGCAGGCUACUGUACGUUCUAUAACUUUUGAGAUGAAUGAUAGGUUUGAAAUAGGGCGAUAGUUAUUGAGUUUGUUUGGGUCCAGGCCAGGUUUCUUUAAUAUGGGUGUGACUGAAGCAGUUUUGAGCAGGGAGGGAACAGUACCAGUUGACAGGGAGGAGUGAACAAUUUGUGUAAUGAGAGGGGAGAGUGUAGGGAGACAAGCCUUGACCAGUGUGGUGGAAAGUGGAUUGAGUAGACAAGUAGUAGACCGGGAAGACAUGAUCAGUUGGGAUAUCUGUUGAUUCGAGGGAAGAUGAAAAGCAGAUAGGGUACUGGUGGGCUGGACAGUAGCACAAGGAGUGUUUAACUGAGAUGACAGGGAAGGGGUGAGAUGGUGGUGUAUGGAGUAAACUUUGUGAUUUAUGUCCAAGAAUUGUUGACACUGAACGACUGACGUGAAGUGGGUGGCAGUUUCUUUGGGCUUGAGUAGUUAAUUUACUGUGAAAAAUAGAAUCCUGGUAUUGUUUCCGUCGCGCUGGAUGAUGUUGGAGUAGUAGGCAGAUUUGGCAGUAUUUAGAGCGGUCUUGUAGGAGGCGAUGUGGUCCGAGUACAUUUGAGAAUGAACAGUGAGUCCGGUGUUCUUGGCAAGGCGCUCAAGGCGGCGGCCAUGGGUUUUGAGUUGGCGGAGUUCAGAGGUAAACCAUGGAGGAGUCCGUGUGCGGGUUUUUGAUGGAGCCAGGGUGUCCAGUGCAGCGAGCAGUGUGCUAUUGUAA
rnacentral:lncRNA from 15 species